AAAAAGAUCAAGCCAGAGGGAAAAAACUAUUUUCAGAGCUGGAGAAAGUGUGGAGAUCACCUGCUCUGAAAAAAGCUGCUUACUUUUGUACCAAA